rnacentral:rRNA from 1 species
AGUGAACGCUGGCGGUAGGCCUAACACAUGCAAGUCGAACGGCAGCAUAGUAAGAGCUUGCUCUUACGUGUGUCGCGUGGCGGACGGGUGAGGAAUACACCGGAAUCUACUUUUUCGUGGGGGCUAACGCAGGGAAACUUCUGCUAAUACCGCAUACGACCUCCGUGUGUAAGCAGGGGAUCUUUGGACCUUGUGCGAUUGUAUGAGCCGAGGACGGAUUAGCUAGUUGGCGGGGGAAAGGCGCACGAAGGCUACGCUCCGUAGACGGUCUGACAGGAAGAUCAGCCAGACUGGAACAGAGACACGUCCCAGACUCCUACAGGAGGCAGCAGUGGGGAAUAUUGGACAAGGGGCGCAAGCCUGAUCCAGCCAUACCGCGUAGGUGAAGAAGGACUUCUGGUGGUAGAGCCCUUUUGUCGGUAAAGAAGAACAGCAGGUUAAUACCCCGCUAUUCUGACGGUACCCGAAGAAUAAGCACCGGCUAACUUCGUG